rnacentral:rRNA from 1 species
CAACCAGCACCUCAAGUGGUCAGGAUGAUUAUUGGGCCUAAAGCAUCCGUAGCCGGCUCUGUAAGUUUUCGGUUAAAUCUGUACGCUCAACGUACAGGCUGCCGGGAAUACUGCAGAGCUAGGGAGUGGGAGAGGUAGACGGUACUCGGGAGGAAGUGGUAAAAUGCUUUGAUCUCUCGAUGACCACCUGUGGCGAAGGCGGUCUACCAGAACACGUCCGACGGUGAGGGAUGAAAGCUGGGGGAGCAAACCGGAUUAGAAACCCUAGUAGUCC